UCUGGGGGCCCCACUGCCUGGAGGGGCCCCCCAGAGGCACCUCACGUGACUCCCCAUUGCCCCCUGCCCAGCCCCAAGGCCCCUCAGCCACUUGCCCUGUUCGCCGUCUCUCCAGCUUGUUCUCCUGGCCGGCAAUCCAGGCAGCAGACAAGCUGCAAAGAGCUCCUUUUCUCCCGCCUCUCAGCUGAUCGGCGGGUGGGCGGGGCUUCCACGGAGGUCUGGUGUAGGCCUCUGUGAAUCCUGAACUCGAGUAGGGCCCAAGCCAGCCAGGAAGGAGGAGGCAGCCAGAGAGGCCUCCACUGUUCUCUGCAGCAGAAGACCCCCUGCUGCCAGGCCUCUCGGAUCCUAUGUCUACGUGUCUACAAAAGCCAGGCCAGGAUGCACCUGAGGCUCUCUCUGAUACUCCAGGAUAGAGUUGGCACAAGACCUGCAUUCUUACUCUGAGUGGAACUUUAAAUUGUAACUUUGAAAUAUUUCUCUCUCUCACGCGUGCUCUCUCUGUGCGUGCAUACACAUGUGUUUUCUAGCAUCUUUUAUUAUGAUUUGGAAGAGAGGAUAAUUUGAGUAAUUCAAAAGCUGCAUUUUCAGAACUGCUGUGCUUUCUAGAAUUUACAUCCUCCUUGGAUUAAAUAUGCCUCUUCAUUUGAAGGAAUACUUUUUUUUUUUUUAGUUUGUUUCACUAUGUUGUUCUUGCAGCCAACAACUUUAUUGAUCAAAGUGGAACUGAAAAGAGGAGCUGACAGUGACUGUUCUUUCCAUGAAAAUAGAAAUGCUGGCUCUGCAUCCUCAAACAAUCCACACUUCUUUUUUUCUGCAGAAUUUCAAGUCAUAUGUGAACAGUGAACUAUUGUAAAAUGCAUGUGGGACAACUUCUUUUUUUAAGCAAAAUACCUGGGGGAAACUGACCAUUCAACUUGCAUUGAUUUUUUAAAUCAAAAUCUUAAAAAUAUGUUUAGCCCAUAUCUGGCUGUGUAUCUAUACUAUAUAUCUACUUGUGAAGUCAACAUGAGCUUUGGGUAACCCUGUUAGGAUGCUUCCCAUGGUCAUAGAGCCCAGACCAGCAAGUAUUUUUUUUAAAAACAAAGACCAUAUCUGGAACUGAACAAGAUCUGACAAGCCAGCAAAAUUUGCUCCACCCACUAACUCAUUUGCCUGAAUGUACCAAGAUUCAUUUGAGGGAUGUGCACAAAGUAUGAUUCAAAACACAUCCCCAGCACCUUUAAAACAGAGGAGAACAAGUGCAUACCUGCUGCUCCACCACUUCCUGAAUAUGUGACACUCCUCCCAGUUAUCUUCAUGCACCAGCAGCGCUCUCCUCCAGCUGCCCUUGUGUGACAUCAGCACGCACAUGUCCCCCUGCACAUGCCGAUCCUGAGGGCCCCUUACCUGUCAUGCAUGCAGAACAGGGCCUUCUCUGUUAUUGCCCCCAGACUUUGGAAUGCUCUCACAGUGCAUGCAUUCUGACUUUCUUGGCUACCUUGAAAAAGCAACUAAAGGCCUUGUUGUUUGUUCAGGCCUUUGCUCUUUAGGGGCUACUGGUCUCUUUGUUCUCCAGCGGUUCUGUUUCUGCAUUUAUGGUUGCUGCUUAGUCUGUGUUUUUAUUGUUUGCAUGGUUGCUUUUAAUGUUAUUGUAACAUGACUUCUAUGGAUUUUUGUUCCUUAAAAUUCUGUUAAUUUAUCCCUAAAAAUUUUCGGAUAAAUUUUAUGAAAAGUGUUCUAGAAAUCGAACUGUAAAUAAAAUACAUAAAUAAAAUGAGUGUCAUGGA